UACGUAGGGGGCGAGCGUUGUCCGGAAUCAUUGGGCGUAAAGCGCGUGUAGGCGGCUCGAUAAGUCCGCUCUGAAAGUCCAGGGCUCAACCCUGGGAUGCGGGUGGAUACUGUCGGGCUCGAGUCCGGAAGAGGCGAGUGGAAUUCCUGGUGUAGCGGUGAAAUGCGCAGAUAUCAGGAGGAACACCAAUAGCGAAGGCAGCUCGCUGGGACGUUACUGACACUGAGGCGCGGAAAGCGUGGGGAGCGAAACAGG
rnacentral:rRNA from 1 species